GUCAUUGAACAACAUCCCCGCAAACCGGAACAAGAUUUGCUAGCUGGUAACCCCAACAUUACCUGGCUGUGAGUAGUUCUCUAUCCUUUUGUUUGCAGGUGCGGAAAAUAUUUGAAGGAUUAUCUGGUAAUUAGGAAUAGUCAGUUAGGGUAUAUAAACCAGAUAACCACACGAUGAUGAAACUGGUCGUUGCCACCUUUGCCUGUCUGUUGGCCGUAUCUCUGGCUGUUCCUUACGGGGGAGCUGGGCUUGGAAUGUACGGUGCUGGUCUAGGCAUGUAUGGUGGUGGCUUGGGCAUGUAUGGUGCUGGUUUGGGCAUGUAUGGAGCUGGUUUAGGCAUGUAUGGUGCUGGUAUGGGCUUGUAUGGUGGUCAUGGCAUGUAUGGUGGUCUGGGCAUGCAUGGUUUGUAUGGUAAUGCCUUAGCUGCGUCCGCGUUAUACAGUCCUUACGGUGCCGGUAAGUAUGGUAUGUACCCAGGCAUGCUUGGAUUCAAUGGAUACCACCCAGGAAUGAUGGCUGGUAUGACUCCUUAUGCUGGUAUGGGGCCACAAUUCAACAACAACAAUAACGUUCAACAAAGGAAUUCCGGAAGCGGAAAUAGUGUUUAACUGGAAAAGAAGACAUUUUCCCCAGUCUUACAUCCGGUUAUUGGUACCAUUAUAACAGAUAUCAAAGAAUGGUCACAGUUUAAAUAUACUAUAAAUAGGCUAAUAUUUAUUACGGG